CUAGGUUUGACAUCCCAAGACAUCCAUAGAAAUAUGGCUUUCCCGCAAGGGACUUGGAGACAGGUGCUGCAUGGCUGUCGUCAGCUCGUGUUGUGAAAUGUUGGGUUAAGUCCCGCAACGAGCGCAACCCCUGGAAUUAGUUGCCAGCAUUAAGUUGGGCACUCUAAUUUGACUGCCGGCGUUAAGCCGGAGGAAGGUGGGGAUGACGUCAAGUCCUCAUGGCCCUUACACCUAGGGCUACACACGUAAUACAAUGGGUAGGACAAAGGGAUGCGAACCUGCGAGGGGGAGCUAAUCUCAAAAACCUGCCCUCAGUUCGGAUUGGAGGCUGCAAUUCGCCUCCAUGAAGGCGGAAUCGCUAGUAAUCGUGGAUCAGCACGCCACGGUGAAUACGUUCCCGGGCCUUGUACACACCGCCCGUCACACCAUGGGAGUCGACUCAACCAGAAGUCGCUGUCGCUAACCGCAAGGGAGCAGGCGCCGAAGGUGGGGUUGAUGACUGGGGUG
rnacentral:rRNA from 1 species